GUUGACUUUAAAGAUUUAGAUUGCAAAUCUGAAGGUGUUUGUUUAAGCUAAAGUCUAGU
rnacentral:tRNA from 1 species